rnacentral:rRNA from 1 species
UACGGGGGGAGCAAGCGUUGUUCGGAAUCACUGGGCGUAAAGGGCGCGUAGGCGGCCGAUUAAGUCGGGGGUGAAAGCCUGUGGCUCAACCACAGAAUUGCCUUCGAUACUGAUUGGCUUGAGACCGGAAGAGGUCAGUGGAACUGCGAGUGUAGAGGUGAAAUUCGUAGAUAUUCGCAAGAACACCAGUGGCGAAGGCGGCUGACUGGUCCGGUUCUGACGCUGAGGCGCGAAAGCGUGGGGAGCAAACAGG